rnacentral:rRNA from 1 species
CCUACGGUGAGCUGCAGUGGGGGAUAUUGCACAAUGGGGGAAACCCUGAUGCAGCGACGCCGCGUGUGGGAAGGCGGUCCUCUGGAUUGUAAACCACUGUCCCCAGGGACGAAGAUGACGGUACCUGGGGAGGAAGCUCCGGCUAACUACGUGCCAGCAGCCGCGGUAAUACGUAGGGAGCGAGCGUUGUCCGGAAUUACUGGGUGUAAAGGGAGCGUAGGCGGGACUGCAAGUUGGGGGUAAAAUCUACCGGCUCAACCGGUAGCCGCACUCAAAACUGCAGUUCUUGAGUGAAGUAGAGGCAGGCGGAAUUCCUAGUGUAGCGGUGAAAUGCGUAGAUAUUAGGAGGAACACCAGUGGCGAAGGCGGCCUGCUGGGCUUUUACUGACGCUGAGGCUCGAAAGUGUGGGGAGCAAACAGGAUUAGAUACCCUAGUAGUC